rnacentral:rRNA from 1 species
UAGCGGCGAGUGAAGCGGCAAGAGCUCAGAUUUGAAAUCGUGUUUCGGCACGAGUUGUAAAUUGCAGGUUGGAGUCUUUGUGGAAGUGCGUGUCCAAGUCCCUUGGAACAGGGCGCCAUUGAGGGUGAGAGCCCCGUGGGAUGCGCAUUGAAGCUGUAAGGCCCUUCUGACGAGUCGAGUUGUUUGGGAAUGCAGCUCUAAGCGGGUGGUAAAUUCCAUCUAAGGCUAAAUAUUGGCGAGAGACCGAUAGCGAACAAGUACUGUGAAGGAAAGAUGAAAAGCACUUUGAAAAGAGAGUGAAACAGCACGUGAAAUUGUUGAAAGGGAAGGGUAUUGGGUCCGACAUGGGGACUGCGCAUCGUUGCUUCUUGUAGGCGGCGCUCUGUGCUCUCUCUGGGCCAGCAUCGGUUUUUGCCGCAGGAUAAGGGGCGUUGGAACGUGGCUCCUCGGAGUGUUAUAGCCAACGCCAGAUGCUGCGAGCGGGGACCGAGGGCUGCGACAUUUGUCUCGGAUGCUGGCAUAACGGCUCAAUACCGCCCGUCUUG